UUGGGAAUAUUGCGCAAUGGACGACAGUCUGACGCAGCGACGCCGCGUGAAGGAUGAAGGUUUUCGGAUCGUAAACUUCUUUUAUAGGGGAAGAUUGUGACUGUACCCUAUGAAUAAGGGCCUGCUAACUACGUGCCAGCAGCAGCGGUAAUACGUAGGGCCCGAGCGUUGUCCGGAUUUAUUGGGCGUAAAGAGUAUGUAGGUGGUUCGACAAGUCGGAUUUUAAAUUCCCAGGCUCAACUUGGGUGCUGGAUUCGAAACUGUCUUACUUGAGAAUUUCAGGGGUAAGUGGAAUUAGCGGUGUAGCAGUGAAAUGCGUUGAUAUCGCUAAGAACACCAAUGGCGAAGGCAGCUUACUAUGAUUUUUCUGACACUGAGAUACGAAAGCGUGGGGAGCGAACGGG
rnacentral:rRNA from 1 species